GAGCAGGUACUCAAUGCUGGUGGAGAGAUUGGUCUGCAAAACCAAUGUAACAUGGGUUCAAUUCCCAUCCUGCUCU
rnacentral:tRNA from 1 species